GGCUUAACACAUGCAAGUCGAGGGGAAACGAUAGAGAAAGCUUGCUUUUUCUAGGCGUCGACCGGCGCACGGGUGAGUAACGCGUAUCCAACCUGCCCACCACUUGGGGAUAACCUUGCGAAAGUAAGACUAAUACCCAAUGACGUCUCUAGAAGACAUCUGAAAGAGAUUAAAGAUUUAUCGGUGAUGGAUGGGGAUGCGUCUGAUUAGCUUGUUGGCGGGGUAACGGCCCACCAAGGCGACGAUCAGUAGGGGUUCUGAGAGGAAGGUCCCCCACAUUGGAACUGAGACACGGACCAGACUCCUACGGGAGGCAGCAGUGAGGAAUAUUGGUCAAUGGACGCAAGUCUGAACCAGCCAUGCCGCGUGCAGGAUGACGGCUCUAUGAGUUGUAAACUGCUUUUGUACGAGGGUAAACGCAGAUACGUGUAUCUGUCUGAAAGUAUCGUACGAAUAAGGAUCGGCUAACUCCGUG
rnacentral:rRNA from 1 species